GACGUAGGGCGCGAGCGUUGUCCGGAUUUAUUGGGCGUAAAGAGCUCGUAGGCGGCUUGUCGCGUCGACUGUGAAAACUCGGGGCUCAACUCCGAGCUUGCAGUCGAUACGGGCAGGCUAGAGUUCGGUAGGGGGAGACUGGAAUUCCUGGUGUAGCGGUGAAAUGCGUAGAUAUCAGGAGGAACACCGGCGGCGAAGGCGGCUUCCUGGACCGAUACUGACGCUGAGACGCGAAAGCGUGGGGAGCAAACAGG
rnacentral:rRNA from 1 species